ACCUACGGGAGGCAGCAGUGAGGAAUAUUGGUCAAUGGACGAGAGUAUGAACCAGCCAAGAAGCGUGAAGGAUGAAUGACGUAUGGGUUGUAAACUUCUUUUAUAUGGGAAUAAAAUGUUCCACGCGUGGGAUUUUGUAUGUACCAUAUGAAUAAGGAUCGGAUAACUCCGUGCCAGCAGCGGCGGUAAUACGGAGGAUCCGAGCGUUAUCCGGAUUUAUUGGGUUUAAAGGGAGCGUAG
rnacentral:rRNA from 1 species